AAUAGAUACCCAGGUAGUCCACGCCGUAAACGAUGGAUGCUAGCCGUCGGGGAGCUUGCUCUUCGGUAACGCAGCUAACGCGUGAAGUAGACCGCCUGGGGAGUACGGUCGCAAGAUUAAAACUCAAAGGAAUUGACGGGGACCCGCACAAGCGGUGGAUGAUGUGGAUUAAUUCGAUGCAACGCGAAAAACCUUACCUACCCUUGACAUGCCACUAACGAAGCAGAGAUGCAUUAGGUGCCCGAAAGGGAAAGUGGACACAGGUGCUGCAUGGCUGUCGUCAGCUCGUGUCGUGAGAUGUUGGGUUAAGUCCCGCAACGAGCGCAACCCUUGCCAAUAGUUGCUACGAAAGGGCACUCUAUUGGGACUGCCGGUGACAAACCGGAGGAAGGUGGGGAUGACGUCAAGUCCUCAUGGCCCUUAUGGGUAGGGCUUCACACGUCAUACAAUGGCUGGUACAGAGGGUUGCCAACCCGCGAGGGGGAGCCAAUCCCACAAAACCAGUCGUAGUCCGGAUUGCAGUCUGCAACUCGA
rnacentral:rRNA from 1 species